UUGUGGAGAACGUACUCUUGACUUGGGAGACCCCUUCUAGAAGAAUCAACGAACACCGAAAGGUAUUAAAAAAGAUGAAGAGGAGCAUGAGGUGUACGGAGUUGAAAUCCCCGACGAUGGAGAGAUGGAGGGCGAAUUGGACCCUCACAACGCCGACGUCGACAUGUCCGCCGCCGAUGAAGACGCUGUCAAGGAAUUAGAUGAAAUGAAGAAACGAUUGAAGGAGAUGGAAGAUGAAGCGGCGGCUCUCCGUGAAAUGCAGGCCAAGGGCGAGAAGGAAAUGGGGGCUGUUCAAGAUCCUGCUAGUGCAUCAGCUAAUCAGGCGAACAAAGAGGAAGGAGAUUCACUUUCUGUUUUUUUGGCAAUAGUUCCUGGAAGCAGAAGCUGUUCAAGAGGCUCUUGUGCUGAACGAAUCUGAAUUACAUGGCCGACAGUUGAAGGUUUUGCCUAAAAGGACUAAUGUUCUGGGGAUGAAGCAGUACCGUCCAAGGCGAUUUAAUCCUUACAUGGGCUACCGGUCGAGGAGGCCCUAUGUACCGCCUUAUUUUUAUUUUCCUUAUGGAUAUGGGAAGUUUCCUCGAUUCAGGAGGCCAAUGCGGUAUAUGCCCAACUACUAGAAGAGUGAGCUAGGGAUGACAUGAUUACCGAGUGUGGGUCCUUCGACCGAGGAAGUA